GUGGCUGUGACGAGGAGAGGGUCGUUCUUGUCCCAUUCCUCCACUUUUACUAGAAAAUAAAAGGGAAAUACAACUUAACACUCAAAUAACCCACUAUACAUAUCUAGAAAACCACUGUGGUCCAUUGUGUUACUAGGGCUGAAGUGAUAACAGAAAACGGCCCUUUGGAAAGCUUUAUGAUUGGUUGGGAAGGAUGAUGGUAUGCUGGCCAAUCAGUGAUCAGCACCGACUCCGUGACGUGGCUCUGUCGUAUCAGUGACGUCAUCAUGGUAAAGGUGGAUGUGAUGACGUAACCCACACCUAGUCAUGCUCAAGGUCCCAGGCGCUGGUAAGGCCGCGAGUUUGUGAUCCCGUCUUCUAGAAUUAAGACAACAAAGGUCAGACUAGUAAUUAUUUUGAUUACGUAUCAUCCAAUUAUCUUUUUGUUAUAAUCUAUUUCGCCUCCAUUAUGUACUUGUUAUUAUCAGUGUUGCUGAGGAUUAUAAUGCAGCGUCACUUUCCGAAAGAUGCUAUACCGUCAUUUAUUUCGCGCCAAAAUUCCCAGCCGCGAUUUUGAU